AAACGAUAUCUGGGAAUUGUUGAGUGUGGAGAGUCCCUAUUCACUCUAAGUGCUGCCAUGGCUUUUUGACAACUGUAUUGCAGUUUCCCAAUGAGUGGACCUACCUUACAGCAACUACUUGCAGAGUGCAGAGCCUUUCUUGAGUGUGUUUAUUAAAUGUAGGGAGAGGAAACAUCUACUCAGUGCUUUCAGGGUUCACGUUUGUUGCUGUUCAGCCCGGUGGUGAGUGGAGGCUGUGGAGCCAUGCAGUACAAGAGUGUGGGAUGAGGCCCUCUGGGCAAGUACUGGCAGAUGGACGUUGCCUUCAGGUGGCAUCGUGCACCCAUGUAACCAAAUGUCUGCUGUCUAUUGUCUGAAUUGGUCGCACUGGUAAGGAAAAGCUGGGAAGACGAAAAGUGAGAUUGCUUUGGCACAUACAAGAUGACCCUGGGAGUCAAAGCUUUGGAGACAUCAUGGGAUCCAUGCGCUGCUGCCACUGAAGUGUAACUGUGGGUCAGGAGAGGUGAUUUCACUUGUUGUAGAAAUAAAUAACUGGUGAAUUUAUUUGAAUUUUUUGAA
rnacentral:lncRNA from 1 species